AGGAAUGUCUUCUAAAUGGACAGAAGAACCAAUAUUCAGAGUUUUGGAUGAUGAAGAUUCCUCUUGAGGAAUUUUGGAAUUAAUUAAAGUUUUAUUUCCUUGCUGUAAUAUAGGAAAAUUUGAACUCGCAGAGCUAUAUGCAGAGUUUCUUCGAUCAAAAUAUGAAGGGUUUGUGCGUCCUCCUUGAUAUGAAGAGUUUUGA
rnacentral:lncRNA from 1 species